UUCCCACGUGCUCUGGGGCGGCUAGCGGAUCGGCCCCGCGCGUCUCGUGACGUCCAAGCGGCCGCUCUAUUGGCCAGGAUCCGCUCAGCCGUGGGAGCUUUAAACUCCAGGCUGACCUACGAACCUGCGGCGAACGUCUUGCGCGCUUCCUGAUCCGUUACCAUGGAAACGGUUUAACCCUUUCCUCUGGCAAAAUACCCAAGCUGUGGCUGGCUCUGCAGGGCCAGAUCCUCUCUGCUUUGGAGCCUUCCCACGAGAUCUUCCUUCAGCACUGAGUGUUCUCUGUCCACCGCUUAGCCUCUGCAUGCCUGAGAAUCCCUCAGCAUUCAGCUGUACUCUCAAGAACUCAAGAACUCUUGUACUAAUUCCCCAGACUAGUGUUGAAAUAAAUUUCUAGGCCCAAGAUGGAGCUGCUCCCGCCCAGGAUGCCACCUCAGCAAACCAAAGCUUAAAUAACUUUUGUGUCUGUGUAAAUGCUCCACUAGACCAAAAACACAGUAUAUCCAGUCAGCCAGUCCCCCCAAACCAAGCCAACUCUAGGCUCUAUGCUUAUUUGUUUCUUCUCACUCCAAACAAAGCUGGGGUGCCUGGGUGGCUCAGUCGGUUGAGCGUCCGACUUCGGCUCAGGUCAUGAUCUCAUGGUUUUGU